UACGAAGGGGGCUAGCGUUGUUCGGAAUCACUGGGCGUAAAGGGCGCGUAGGCGGUUUGCCAAGUCAGGCGUGAAAGCCCCGGGCUCAACCUGGGAACGGCGCUUGGGACUGGCAGGCUCGAGUUCGGGAGAGGACGGCGGAAUUCCCAGUGUAGAGGUGAAAUUCGUAGAUAUUGGGAAGAACACCGAUGGCGAAGGCAGCCGUCUGGACCGACACUGACGCUGAGGCGCGAAAGCGUGGGGAGCAAACAGG
rnacentral:rRNA from 1 species